rnacentral:rRNA from 1 species
UACGUAGGGGGCUAGCGUUGUCCGGAUUUAUUGGGCGUAAAGAGCGUGUAGGCGGCCAGGUAGGUCUGCUGAUGAAAACUCGAGGCUCAACCUCGAGACGUCGGCGGAAACCAUCUGGCUAGAGUCCGGAAGAGGAGAGUGGAAUUCCUGGUGUAGCGGUGAAAUGCGCAGAUAUCAGGAGGAACACCAGUGGCGAAGGCGCCGCUCUGGGCCGUGACUGACGCUGAGGAGCGAAAGCGUGGGUAGCAAACAGG